GGGCCCGUAGCUCAGUGGUAGAGCGUCUGACUUUUAAUCAGUAGGUCGCGCGUUCGAUCCGCGCCGGGCUCACCA
rnacentral:tRNA from 3 species